CAUAAAAUUAUAGCAAGCCUCGUCAUUGCCUAGCCAUUGCCAAUGCUAAGUCCAAAAUGUAAAGGAAUGUGGAAAAAGCCAUCUGCAUUGGACUGGAUAUAUGCCCCAGGUUUGACAUUUCUACUACAGUAAGUCUUAAGCCUUUUCCAAGUCUGGCGAGAGACUGUUCUGCUGCCAAAGAGUAAAUUAUAUUACUUUCUCUCCUUCCUCCCGCUCAAUAUUUCGCUCGUUUAUUCUCUUUCCUCCCGAAACUCUCCAUUUCCAGUUUCUUUUCUUUCUUUCUCUGGAAAACAUUUUCUUUUCUUCGACCCACUUCUCUCCAUCUUCUUUCUUCUCCAACCCACAAGGCCUCUCCAUCUUCUGGAUUCUCCAACCCGCAAGGUCUCUGUCUCGCUCUCCAUUGGUCAUCUUCCUUCUCUCAAACUAAAAGGUAUAUACAAUCGUUUUGUUCACUCUCAUUUUUGGAUGAAUCCCGAUUUUCUGAUUGUUUUGGACAUUUUUUAUGUUUGGAGCUUGCUUUUUAAGUUUUGAUUGGUGGAAGAACUCAGCUUGUUGUAGUUGAUUGAUUUACUUUUAUACAUCAAACUUUCCUCUCUAUUUUUUUUUUUUUUGUUUUUUUUUCUAUACUUUAAUUUUUUCAGUUUUUAUUCUGACUUUGGCUAUAUUCAUACCUGCUGACAAUUUUGGUUAUUGGAGUAUAUGACUGCCGAAUGAUAUUGUUACUUGCAUAAACUUAUUCUAAUUUCCAGAACCUUUGCCCUCUCAAAAGUUAUACCCUAAUUUUGAACUGAGGCUGUCACAUUAACAUUUCCAUAACUAAACCAUGAUCUCCAAUCCAUUGAAAACUGAUUAUUUUAUUCAACUCCAGUUUGUAAAUGAACUACAUGUAAGAAGGCAAUCAAGGAAGAGAUUGGCAGAGAUUUUCAGUUUGAAAUUUCUAUUUCAUUAAGUUGGUUGUGGUUCUUUUUAUUUAGUGAGAAGUAUCCCUAAUGUUAAUUUCCAUAGCCGCUGAAAAGUUAUGUAUUGACUCUUUCUACAAGGAACAAAUAUGAAGGAACAAAAGUAACUUUAUAAUGCACUGAACACAAUUACUUUAACUAAAUAAAUGACAUAUUUCUAACUACUGAUAUGCAUUAAACUACAUGAGAUCUCUCUACUCAAAAUAUAAAACUACAUACUUCAUGCAUAAAUGAAGUUGAUUUGUUCUAUAAAUUCUCAGAAUGGGGACACACUAUUUCAAGGUUUUGCAUUAUUCUUCAUUUCCCAUGGUGCAUAUUUUUCUCACAAACUGAGGAUACUUCAUCCAUUGAACCCUCAAGUUUUUGAAGUAUCACUUGUAAAGGUUAUAUUUUAGUAUUUUCUAUCACUCUCCAUGUAAAACUAAUGGUAAAGAAAUGAGAGAGCCAUUCCAACCCCUAAUGGUGAAACUAAUCCAAGCUGCAGUAAUAGUUUUUGCUAAUGCUUUUAAGUGUCUGCAUGUUUCCUACAACUUCGCGUCAGAACUUCAAGCUAAGCAGCUGUGCUUGUUUAAUGUUUGAGCUAUUAUGAGAUAAACCGUACCUAGUACUCUUGGCUAGUAACCAAGGGAAUUAAAGUGAUUGUAUGUUACCAUGGGUUAACAAGAAUGACGGCAAAAGAAAAAACCUACUAUCAUAUAAUACCAAUACAGUAUUUUUCUGGAUAUUUAUCACCAUUAGUCUUUUCAGUAACAAUGCAACUUCCAUGAGCUACUGCAGCUUUAACCGUUUUCUAAAUAUUUACCCCUUUUAUCUUUUAAAGUAAAAGAGUGGGGAGAAACCAAGCAAUAAUGCAAUAACUCAAGAGGAAUGAGGGUUGUGCUUGUCCUCCAUGCCUUCUACAGGUCAAGAAAAUUAUCAAAAAAGUAGUUGAGAAACUAAACAAUUUAUGAAAUCUCAAUAUUUUUAUCCUUUGCAUUAUUCUCCAUCUCCCAUGGUGCAUAUUUUUCUCACAAAGAGAGGAAAGUGAAAAUUUCCCAUGGUACAUGUAUUUUGCCGAUACUUCAUUUUUUGAAAGCCUUGUUUAUCUCAUCAUUUAGAAGAGGCAAACCAUUGAUUUAACUAUUUGAACUUUGAUUUGGUCUAGUUGGGGGUGGUUGGCUCUAAUUUCCAGAACCUUUGCCCUCUCAAAAGUUGUUUGUAUAUGCAUGUAUCAUAUCAUGUUAUUUGUACAAGCCUAUGAGAGAUUUACGUUUGAAAAGAUCAUCCCUGUCUGCAUCCUUUAAUUGAUAGAUGGUUCAGUAGCCCUUAUGCCUUUUGCUUAAUGAUAGAUGGUUAAAUCAAUUCAUAUUGCUUUUCUGCAUUGUUUUCUAUAUUGCUGUCUCUCUCUAUUGUUUGCUGAAAAGCUGAGAAAGAAAGGGAGAGGAAGUGGAAGUCGAUGGAAGGCAAAGAUGGUGAGAUCAAGAUUGCCUUAGCUCAGAUAACUGAAGAUAGAGCGAGCAUGGAAGAGCGGAGGCAAGGUGUGUUAAAGGCAGACCGUGAAAGAGCAGCAACAUUUGAACUAAAGAAGAAGAAGUUCAAGGCAAAGAUGAUGCUGCUAGAUCUAAGUAACUUGAAUGCCAUGCAGCAAGAAUAUUUUGGUGCCAUUCAACUGCAAAUUUUUGAGGAAUGGAGGUCUCAUUCAGGAGGUACAUCUACAUCUCCUUCAACACCUUAUGGCAGUGUUUAACUUCUAAUGUAUGUUUUGGAUUUUUUUGAAAUUUCAGUGGCAGCCCAGCCACAUGUGGGAUGGAAGAACAUGUGGUUGGGUAGCAACUAAAUGUUUGGACUUUUGUAUAAUUCUCAGCAUAUUAUAUUGUACUAGAAAAUGAAUUGUAAGAGUACUUUAUGAACUGUUUUGGGGUAAUUACUAGAUUGUGAAGGCUAUUUUUGAA